rnacentral:rRNA from 1 species
UCCGUAGGGGGCAAGCGUUGUCCGGAAUCCUUGGGCGUAAAGAGCGUGUAGGCGGCCAGAAAAGUCCGCUGUGAAAUCUCGGGGCUCAACCCCGAGCGGUCGUGGGAAACUGGUUGGCUAGAGUGCGGGAGAGGAGAGUGGAAUUCCUGGUGUAGCGGUGAAAUGCGUAGAUAUCUGGAGGAACACCGGUGGCGAAGGCGGCAUCCUGGACCGGCAUUGACGCUGAGGAGCGAAAGCCAGGGGAGCAAACGGG